UGCCUUUGGGGCUGUCCGCUUUGCGGCUGCCAGAGGGAGUCUGGUGUUUGCGGAGCAGGUGGGGUUGGGAACCGGGUGGGACUUGGCUUUAGAAUUUCCUCUGGCGACCCAGUCUUUCCUCAGGCUUCCUGGAGGGAGCAUCUCCUUCGGGGAUAUUAGUAGCAGCGUUUUAGACUGGAAGAAAGUCAAAAAAUCCCUCCUUGGGGCACUGCAGUCCCCUUGGAGCACUGUGAUACCUGGAGGUGAUAGAGGGAAGCUGAAAAAUUUUAUCUGAGAUGGUGAUGAAGCAGACUGAAAGUAUAUCUUUG